rnacentral:rRNA from 1 species
AUUGAACGCUAGCGGGAUGCCUUACACAUGCAAGUCGAACGGAGUGGCGAACGGGUGAGUAAGGUAUCGGAACGUGCCCAGUAGCGGGGGAUAACUACGCGAAAGCGUAGCUAAUACCGCAUACUAUUGGAGCGGCCGAUGUCGGAUUAGGUAGAGGGGGGGGUAACGGCUCACAAGGGCGACGAUCCGGAGCUGGUUUGAGAGGACGACCAGCCACACUUGGACUGAGACACGGCCCAGACUCCUACGGGAGGCAGCAGUGGGGAAUUUUGGACAAGGGGGGAAACCCUGAUCCAGCCAGCCCGCGUGGGGGAUGAAGGCCUUCGGGUUGUAAAGCACUUUUGGCAGGAAAGCGGUACCUGCAGAAUAAGCACCGGCUAACUACGUGCCAGCAGCCGCGGUAAUUC